GGAGAUACUAUUAGACUUGAAGUCGGGAGAGGUUAGAGGUACUACCGGGGUAGGGGUGAAAUCCUAUAAUCCUGGGAGGACCACCUGUGGCGAAGGCGUCUAACUGGAACGAUCUUGACGGUGAGUAACGAAAGCCAGGGGCGCGAACCGGAUUAGAUACCCGGGUAGUCCUGGCCGUAAACGAUGUGGACUUGGUGUUGGAAUGGCUUUGAGUUGUUCCGGUGCCGAAGGGAAGCUGUUAAGUCCACCGCCUGGGAAGU
rnacentral:rRNA from 1 species